GAUGAACGCUGGCGGCGUGCCUAAUACAUGCAAGUCGAGCGAACAGACGAGGAGCUUGCUCCUCUGACGUUAGCGGCGGACGGGUGAGUAACACGUGGAUAACCUACCUAUAAGACUGGGAUAACUUCGGGAAACCGGAGCUAAUACCGGAUAAUAUAUUGAACCGCAUGGUUCAAUAGUGAAAGACGGUUUUGCUGUCACUUAUAGAUGGAUCCGCGCCGCAUUAGCUAGUUGGUAAGGUAACGGCUUACCAAGGCGUCGAUGCGUAGCCGACCCGAGAGGGUGAUCGGCCACACUGGAACUGAGACACGGUCCAGACUCCUACGGGAGGCAGCAGUAGGGAAUCUUCCGCAAUGGGCGAAAGCCUGACGGAGCAACGCCGCGUGAGUGAUGAAGGUCUUCGGAUCGUAAAACUCUGUUAUUAGGGAAGAACAAAUGUGUAAGUAACUAUGCACGUCUUGACGGUACCUAAUCAGAAAGCCACGGCUAACUACGUG
rnacentral:rRNA from 1 species